UUGAUCACAUUAAAACACUUUCUUGAGCUAACUCUCCCCUGAUUAGGACUUAGUUUUGACUUAGGCAUAAAAAUCAAUCAAAUAAUUAAUCUUCAUAGUAAUUACCUAUGAAAAAUUAAAGAGUUUAUCAUCGUGUUUCUGUUUUAUAUGCUGUGCAUGUUAGUUCUUCAAUUUGGGCCAAAAAUAAUACCAAAAAGAAUAGAGAGUUUCAAUAAAUAAGCGUAUGUUUUUAUGGGAUGGCAGGGCCCUUAUGCUUAUAUACAUCUUCAUAGCUUUUCAUUUCAUUUUCAUUACUUUUGAUCGGCAGGUGAUAAUAUCUGUGCAUAUCAAGUUAUAUAGGUCUCUUCCUACUGUAUUGUAACGGCCUAACUCCUAGCAUUAGAUCAUACCAAUUUGUUUUUCCUAAAACCUGAUGAAUGAGUGUGGUAUCUAAUUUUCUCCAUCAAAUAGGUAAGGAAGAUCGAAAGCAGCAGAAUCGUUCUUCAGUUUGCGCUCCUGUUUGAUGUGAUUAAUCUUUUGGUAGUCAUCAUUUGUAAAGUGAAAAAUUAAAUAUAUCUAAAUUUUGUUUCAUUCUCGCUUUGUUGUAGCUCUUCAUUGCAAAAGUCACACCUUGAUCAUACAACCAUCUAAGACUUACCUAUAACCAAUUCAAAUACAUUACAUCAUUAGAUAGUUCGAGUCGUGGAAGUGACGGACAUGACUGAGCUAGAAACUGAUGAGACGGGACUUAGUCAUAUUGUAGAAUUGGAUUUAGUGUACCAUGCAUUGAAUUCAAGUAUGCUUGGAGUUGUUGCAGUUAGAUAUAAGUGAUUAAGUUAUAUCAUGGUUAUGUGACAUUUAAAUUUAUAAAACAAAUACUAAAUUGUAUUUUUCUUUAGCCAUUUAAACUAAGUCGGACGUUCAUUUUACCAUAAUUGCAGACGGUUCUUUCCAUUUUAAAGUAGAUGAUUAUUUUGGGUAUAUUAUUUGUCUUUUACUUGAUUUUUUGCAUUUUGUUUGCACAUGCCCCGCAAGUUGAAUUAGAUUUAGUUUAAUUUGAUUGAAUUCAAACUGGGUUUUAGUUAUGCCAUUUAAAUAUGAUGCACGAGUGGUAUUUUUGGUCAAUUGCUUAGUUGUUUCUUAUCAACUAAUGUGGAUGUUCAUUUUACUGUGUA